AUGCUACUGGUAUGGAUCAGUAACUGCAAUAUUGUUGUUCUUCUUGUCCUCCUCCCUAAUUCUUCUCCACUUCGCAAACUUCAUUUCAUCAUAACUUUUUCAUACGGUAACGAAAUCGCGCAAGGUUGGAGCCUAUAGAUUGGUAUCAUAACCCUCUUCCAUCUAAUAUGACACCCACACCUCAAAAUCAACUGUGCUCAAAGAUUGGAGCCUAGAACAGUAACGGUUUCUGACGAAGUUUUGCUGAUUCCACUCAAUCCUGCCAAAAUUUGGUCUCAGCCCAAGAGAGAAAGAUGGUCCUCUCCUGAUGAUCUUUCUAUCUAUACUUGAGUUUGUUGAGUGAAUUGAAGGGAUUGUUAAUUGAAUUUGGAUAAUGAGGGAAUCUAGAAGAUCGGGGCAUGUUCUCAGCUCCGAUCUUUAUUUGAUUCAUUGUAGAUCCAAGAUUAUAAGAGUCAACUAUUAGUGUUUGGACAUGAUGGUCCUUACUUUGAUCGUGAAGUUGCACAGAUUAUUAUCAAAAUUGUAAUUGUAGAAAGAAGCAAACAACUUAUGCAUGAAGAUUUUGUACGUGGUAUUUAAGCUAAAUGAUGACCACUUGAACUAGAUUCAGGAAAAUGACAAUGUUCUGAUUGCCACAUUUGGUCAUAAAGGAAUGACGUUCUCAUUGCAGGAUUUGGU
rnacentral:sRNA from 1 species